CCUACGGGAGGCAGCAGUAGGGAAUAUUGCUCAAUGGGGGAAACCCUGAAGCAGCAACGCCGCGUGGAGGAUGAAGGUUUUCGGAUUGUAAACUCCUUUUGUUAGAGAAGAUAAUGACGGUAUCUAACGAAUAAGCACCGGCUAACUCCGUGCCAGCAGCCGCGGUAAUACGGAGGGUGCAAGCGUUACUCGGAAUCACUGGGCGUAAAGCGAGCGUAGGCGGGAUAGCAAGUCAGAUGUGAAAUCCUCGGGCUUAACCAUAGAACUGCAUUGGAAACUGUUAGUCUAGAGUAGGGGAGAGGUAGGUGGAAGUCGUGGUGUAGGGGUAAAAUCCGUAGAGAUCAAGAGGAAUACUCAUUGCGAAGGCGACCUGCUAGAACAUAACUGACGCUGAGGCGCGAAAGCGUGGGGAGCAAACAGGAUUAGAUACCCCAGUAGUC
rnacentral:rRNA from 1 species